GGCAGGAGAAUUACCCCUGAAUGCUACCAUGAGCUCUAACUCCCUGCAGUUAGUUCUACAUCAGUGUUUUGAUGGAAUGAGUGAAAAUACUAUGUUGGAAUAAUGACUUCCAAAGAAUUGAGGAAAAUUAAAGUCCACCAAUCUCUGUUUUUAGCACAGUGCUGAGUGUGUGUGUGUGUGUGUGUGUGAGUGUGUGUGUUCCACACUUGAUGCUGUGUUAGGGAGAGAACACAAGACAGGAAGCUGUUUUCUUGAUGCAGAGCCAGGCUGAGAAAAGUAAAUACCAGAAUGUGUACGGUGUCAGAUGGGCAGAGGCCCAGUAGAGAAUGGAGCAAAGGAAACUACAAGGACAGCAACCUCAAGGCUGGGGAGUUCAGCGUGCAAAGAAGAUCGACCUGGCAUUGGUGCUUAAGCACCAGAGAACCGGCACCUGAGAAAGGCAGAGAAUAGAACUCAGCAUUACCGACUUGGAGUCAGGAGCUCCAGAUCUGCAACUCAUUUCACCUCCUUGGACCUCAACUCCUUUCUACAGGGGGAAGUUUGGGCUUGUGAAGAUAUUAGAUACCUUCCAGCUCUACUUGCUCUAAGGAAGAAAGCCAGUAUUUCUUGAAUGCCUACUAUGUGCCCAAAUCUGGGCAGUGCUAUGGGGCAUUAGGUGACAAUUCAGUGGACACGAAGCCUCUCGCCCAUCCCUGAUUCAGGUGCCCAGUGCAGAAUCACCCUUGGGGGCUCACCUGUACACUGUGGAAUGGGAUGUUGGGCUGGUGAGAAGGCAAGAGGCGUGGCUGGUGGCUGGAGAUAUGCAUGGCAGUGCCCUAAGUUGCAGGGUGGUGCCUCCAGGAGCCUGUAGUAUCUUCUCUAACACCAUAAGUAUCCAGGAGUCAGAGGGAGUGUGAUGUUAAAUAGCAAAUAAUAAGCACCAUGACUGACCGAGAGAGACAGUGGAAAAAACAAAAAGCUUUAUAUUCUAGUGCCUUUACUAACACUUUUUUCCCUCGUUUUUGAACAAGGAUCCCCACAUUUUCAUUUUGCAACAAGCCCUGCAAACUAGGUAGUCAUUUGGG
rnacentral:lncRNA from 1 species